rnacentral:rRNA from 1 species
UACGUAGGGUGCAAGCGUUAAUCGGAAUUACUGGGCGUAAAGCGUGCGCAGGCGGUUUUGUAAGUCUGAUGUGAAAUCCCCGGGCUCAACCUGGGAAUUGCAUUGGAGACUGCAUGGCUAGAGUACGGUAGAGGGGGAUGGAAUUCCGCGUGUAGCAGUGAAAUGCGUAGAUAUGCGGAGGAACACCGAUGGCGAAGGCAAUCCCCUGGACCUGUACUGACGCUCAUGCACGAAAGCGUGGGGAGCAAACAGG